CAUUUACAUCACCGUCAUCGGAGAUCCGCCUCAGUCUUCUCCAAUGCGAUUCUGUUAGCUACCGAGUUCCAGCUUGAAAUGGAAGAAAGUGAUAAAAUUGAUGCAAGGCUGCACCAAACAGAAGGCAACUAUGGCGAAUUCUGGAUGUAAAAUACCCUAUGCUCCAAGAAAAUGAAUUGUUA